UACAGAGGUGGCGAGCGUUGUCCGGAAUUAUUGGGCGUAAAGAGCUCGUAGGCGGCUUGUCGCGUCGGCUGUGAAAACCUGGGGCUCAACCCCGGGCCUGCAGCCGAUACGGGCAAGCUAGAAUUCGGUAGGGGAGACUGGAAUUCCUGGUGUAGCGGUGAAAUGCGUAGAUAUCUGGAGGAACACCGGUGGCGAAGGCGGCAUCCUGGACCGGUAUUGACGCUGAGGCGCGAAAGCUAGGGGAGCAAACGGG
rnacentral:rRNA from 1 species